UGAGGGUGAAACUGCUAUUGCCGGCGGC
rnacentral:piRNA from 1 species